rnacentral:tRNA from 1 species
AAGGGAGACCUAAUUCCGGUAGGAGACGAAAAAAAAGUAGUCCCAACCAAGAAUCAAUCCCAAAAGGUCGGAGCGAGGCGAAAUUGGCUUUCAAACUAGGUUCUGGGUUCACACAAGACCUGAAUCAGGAACAAGGGCUAUUAGCUCAGGUGGUUAGAGCGCACCCCUGAUAAGGGUGAGGUCCCUGGUUCGAGUCCAGGAUGGCCCACCUGUACAGGGGAAGAAAGAAAAGAAGCUCCGAAUCAGCACCUUAUCUUACUUAUAUAGUAAGAGAGAAUGCUGGCUCUGAGUUCAGAGUCCAGAGGAACCUUGAAAACUGCAUAGAGCUAGGUGAAAAAGCCAAAAAAGAAGACCGCCA